GAGAAUGUUCAUAUUUGAUGAGAUAUGAUAAUAGAUAUUUUUUUGUUUACUUUAUAAUUUAUUUUAUAGAGUUGAAUGGAACAAAACUCUAAUUCUAAUAUAUAUUGUUACAAUUUAUUUAAAAUUUAUCAAAUUACAUAAUAUCAGAUUAUUAGUGUUACACUCUUAUAAUUUAACAAAUCACAAAAAAUAAGGAUAUUUUGGUAUUUUCACUUAUUG
rnacentral:lncRNA from 1 species